rnacentral:tRNA from 1 species
GCCUGGAUAGCUCAGUUGGCUAGAGCGCGGUGCUGAUAAUGCCAAGGUUGCAGGUUUGAUUCCUAUAUGGGACA